UAUAUAUAAACCCAAGAUGGGCAUCUUUUGUAUUAAGAAAGGAAGCACUAUAAAAUAAUUCUGGAUUUGUGUUUGUUGUAGAUUGAGUGUACUGUUGAAAAAUACUUUUGUUUCUGGGUGUAAGUGUCUGGGUGUGUGUCUGGGUACAUGUGUGUGUUUGGGGUUUUUUCUUCUUUUAACUGACAAGCCAUGUUGAGUGGUCUUGGGCCACUGCUUCCCCUCUUUUGAGUCAAUACAUAGUGCUUCUGUGUGUAUAUAUAUUUUUGUGUGUAUUUGCUAAUUUUUAUUAAUUCUAGUUUUUCAUUAAAUAAAUUUGACUUUCUUUUCUG